rnacentral:rRNA from 1 species
GACGAACGCUGGCGGCGUGCUUAACACAUGCAAGUCGAACGGAAAGGCCCUGCUUUUGUGGGGUGCUCGAGUGGCGAACGGGUGAGUAACACGUGAGUAACCUGCCCUUGACUUUGGGAUAACUUCAGGAAACUGGGGCUAAUACCGGAUAGGAGCUCCUGCUGCAUGGUGGGGGUUGGAAAGUUUCGGCGGUUGGGGAAGGACUCGCGGCUUAUCAGCUGGUUGGUGGGGUAGUGGCUUACCAAGGCUUUGACGGGUAGCCGGCCUGAGAGGGUGACCGGCCUCAAUCAGACUGAGGAACGGCCCAGACAGCAACAGGCGGCAGAGGGGGGGAGUCUGACGCAACGAUCUGAAGGCUGUGAAGAAAACGCCCCGUGCGGGAAGAAGGCCUUCGAGUUGUAAACCGCAUUGGCCUGUGAGGAGGCUUGAGUGACGGUAAUAAAUAAAGAAGCAACGGCUAACUACGUG